AUACGGGAAAAGUGAGCUGAAAAGAGGACGAAGAAGAAGAGCGGGCCAACCGGCCUGAGUUGUGGCGGCAGGCGGGGAAGCCUGGCGGGGACUCGGCGUGGGACCCGGGAGAGUGGCGGUGCUGGGGCCCGGGGUGCGGGCGCUGCGUGCUGCGGUGACCUGGUCUUGACGCUCUGCCCGGGACGAGCAGGCCGUGCGCGUCUCCUCUGGGUUCUGCGGCCAACGCUGGUUUAGAACCACGGGUGGGAGAGCAGCGGGGUCGCACUACGGAAAAGAUAAUCGGGACCCUCCCCCACCCCAAGCCUCACUUGGGCCUCGGAGGCAGAGGGCAGCCGGAGGAAUACUGUCUGUCAUCCUGUCUCUAGACCCUGGGCUCGGCUGGGAGUGGAGGUGGGGGGCGCGGGGAGGGGUAUGCAAAGCUCCUUGUGAGGUUUUUAUACGUGUAUUCUCUCUUUAUUCUCUCUUCCCUUUCUUGGGGGCACUCUCCCUCUUGGGAUCUGUCCUGGAGUUCUCAGGCUGCGAGAACUUGUUGACAAGUGAAAGCUUAGUUAGUGGAACCCCGGCUCGGUUUGUGUGCUUGUUUUCUUCAAAGUGACUUCACAUUUACUCUGGACCUCGUCUGCCCUUUGGGGGGAGAUGACUGUAAUCAGCGCACCGGCUGCCGUCCGAGAUGCGGGAAAACGGGGCGCGCCCUAUGCGGGGCCAGAGACUGUGUCCGGGCUAAUUUCCUCCAUAACCUUUAAACUCCUGCUGGAAGCGGCCUAGGAGGCCAGUCACGUGAGGUGAUCCCUGGGCUGCUGGGGAAGAAUUUCCUCCGCUGGGGAGUAGGAGACCGAGAAGGCGGCCCCCGGGAGGGACUGCCUGGCGCUGUGGGACGCAGACCUGGGAGGGCGGGGCCGCGAUCCGGAGGCUUGGGGCGCGGCCCUGCAUGGAGUAUUCUGAAGGGCAAGGCUAGGAAGAGGUCUCCACAACCUGCGAGCCGGGGAAGUAGGGAGGGGGGCUGCAGAUGGAAAAAGAAAACCUCGGACCUCACCAGUGUGCCAAGUCAAGUCAGGGAGUUUGUAGAAAUCGUUGUAAGCUGAGUGUUUAUCUGGCGGGACUGGUUAUACCCACCUCUCCAUCACUUUUUCUCAGCAGAAAAAAAGUUAUCAUUACCUGUGGGUUAAAAAAAAAAGUUAAAGGUGAGGAAGGAGACAGUCCCCGGGGACAAUAGGAUAUACCACGUGCAGCACACAGGUCGCAAAAAUAAUCAGAAAAGUCCAAAGGUGGUUGUGACAGACCCUCUGUCUCCUCAGCCUUGCAGUCGCUGCCCGCCAGGGGCCUGUGAGUCAUUUCUAGAAGCCUGCCCUGAGAAUCGGGCCACAGGGCAGAGAGACUGCUAAAACAGAGGCUUAGAGACAAACGAGAUUGUUCAUGUAUAAAAAAUUAUGCUUUCCUUGGCCACUUCAAGCAGCUGGAGAUUAUGUUUGAAAAUCUGUCAUUUUGACAAAGCCAAACAGGGAUACACCGAUGUUGUUUAAUUGUUAUCUUCUGGACAUCAGAACUUUUUCCUCCUAGGUUUUCACUUUCACCAUUCUAUUUGUCUUAGACUUCCCCCCCCCUUCACCGGGCAUGUAGUUGACGGCAACCAGCAGAAAGGGCUUGAUCUCCAGAAAAUGCCCUUGGGAAGCAGAGACAGCAAGAGAAUGUGAAGACUCACUCCAAACCAGGACGUUGGAAGAACCAAGGCCAAAGAUGAUUUAUGCUCCAUCUGAUCAAAAAUCAAACAUUCCUGACUGCUGUGCCUCUGUGGGUUGGGUGUCAUCCCACAGACCAAAAGGUCGCCAGUUUAAUUCCUGGUCAGGGCACGUGCCUGGGCUGUGGGCCAGGUCCCGGGCUGAGGACGUGCAAGAGGCAACCAAUCAAUGUUUCUCUCCCUCUCUCUAAAAAUAAAUAAACAAAAUCUUUAAAAAAUGA